rnacentral:ncRNA from 1 species
CAAUCUAUAGGCGAUGGAGUUCGCCAUUAAAUCCGUUAUUAUGCGGUGAUGACUCCUACUAGUAA